CUGAUUGGAGUACUUGGUUCUUUAGCUUUAUCCUCUGUUGUUCCUCUUGCCUGGUUCAUCAAGUAAAUUGUGGUCAGAUUCUGAAGAUCACACUCGAGCAAACUGUUACUCUGAAUGUUCCAGAGCAUAAAAUUGAUCACAAGAACAGCAACAACAGCAAGAUCAAUUGUGUGAACUGCAACAACAGCAUGACAAAUUGACAAAUCAAGAGUAGGUGAGCUGCUCCAUUUUCAGUAACAGUAUUGCUGUCACCGUAACUUGCUUUCCAUUUAACUUGAUUUACUGUUAAACUUGACAUAUAUGGUCAGUUUAAAAAUGUUCACAACAAGCAAUAUAUGGUCAGUAUGCAAAUGGUUGAUUUACUCCAUUUUUAAAACAACUGACACAGUUACACAUUUUUAAAACAACUGACACAGAUAAAUGCCAAAUUUAUAUGUUCAGUAAGGUGAUUUGCUGAAUUUAUAUGGUCAGUGAGGCGCUUUGCAAAAUUUUGAAGCAGCAAAUUCAGUUAGGUGCUUUGCUGAGUACUCCGAGGUGGGAGAUAAACAUGCUAGUACUCCUAGGUGGGAGUACUCCAAAGGAUACAGAUAAAUGCCAAAGGAGUAGAGCUGAUAUGUACUCCUAUAGUUUCUGCCAGGAUAUGUAUGAACGACCAAUGUGUCAAAGAGAACAGUCAAAGAGAGCUUUCUAGUGGCAUGUGGCACAAUGCAAGAUUACUCCAUAUGUGUAAUACUCCAUUUUGUGAGACUUGUAUGUGUAACUCCAUUUUGUGAUCAUUUUUACUCCAUAUAUGUGUAUUUUUUGUAUGUGUAAUUCAAAAGUUUCAUUUGCUUGUGCGGAGUACUCCAUUUAAAUGAAAGAGAAGAGAAGAGAGUAGUAGGAGAGAAGAUGAGUGAAUUUAGAGAUGAGAAGAUAAUUUAGAGAAGAAGAGAACAAGCAAAGUAGUAGGAGAGGAAAGGAGUGGGAGAGGAGAGGAGUAUGGAGGGCACAAGGGAAGUACUCCAAUAAACCCUACACUAAACUACAGAUGCAAGAAGAGAAAGAGAAGAGAGAAGAAGAGAGAAGAGAAGUCCUACUGUAACUGAAAAAGUUUCAGUUAAGUAACUGAAAAAAUUCAGUUAAUGAACUGAAACUUACACUAAACAACUGCUGUCCUACACUACUGUUGUCCUACACUAAACUACUGCUUUCCUACACUAUACUACUGCAACUGUUAAAUUAACAGAAAAAGUUAAUCCUACUCCAGAUUGCUGCAAACCAAAUGUUUCUAAAAACAAAUUUUCAGAGUACUUGCAUGUUCCUCCAACAGUAACAAUUUUAAGCUAAUCUACGAAGUCAACAGAAGAUUCAUGACAAGAUUAACAGUAGCAGAAGCUUCAUGUGCUAAAAUACUGAAGCUUCAUGGGCAAAAUCACUGAAGCUUCAUCUGCAAAAUUACAGAAUUUGCAAAAUUUUGAAAACUGAAUUCUGUAAAUAGUCUUACCUUUGAAAAUAUUCAGCUCAGGAGUAUUUGUUAUCAAAGGUAUCAUGAGCUUAGCUUGAAUAAAACGACCCCCAAAACUGAGAAACAGGAUCCCACAUGGAGUAAUCUACAGUACGAGGUUAGUGAUGAACUCACCUAGCAUUUCGUCAAGUUCACUGAAGAGAUCAUUGAGCAGGUCGCGCUUAUGCUUCUCCCUCUCUGCUUUGUGAAAAUAAUCCUCGGGGCCUUCUUAUUGCACUUGCCGUCAGUGACAGGCCUGCGGAUCGAAAGCUACUGCAUCAGCAGCAAUGGAAACAUGGGCCUCAUUGCAGAAUUUUGGAAUCUCAGGAACUUUGGAGCAGACGAAAACAUCCUCACACGGAUCAGCAGGUCAUGUUCCUGUUUUCUUCAGAAUUUUACACAAAAUAAGGUUCAAUUCCUCCUCUAUACAAAUCCUUAGCAAGAACUACCCUGGGAACUAAACUACCAACGAAAUCAAUCACAGCAACUAAACCAUGGAGUAGAAGCUAAUCCUACUCCAGAUUGCUGCAAACCAAAUGUUUCUAAAAACAAAUGUUCAGAGUACUUGCAUGUUCCUCCAACAGUAGGAAUUACUCCUAACAGAGCACUACUCAUCCUCUCACAGUAGCAACUCAAGAUGAGCACUACUCCAAAACACCUGACAGUUUGAAGAGAAACCAAAGCUCAUGUAGGAGCAGAGCAAGAUAAGCACAACCAAAGCCUCACACAAACACAAGAUGAAAGAUCUCCUAUGAGCAUCAGCUUCUCCUACUCCAAGGAGUAGAGGGCUAGAACCACCAAGGGAACAACCGCAAUGAAAAGAACAAAGUAACGUCACCCAGUAAUCUGCACUAUACAACUUGCUGCUCCAGUAAUUGGAAGGAAUACUCCAAUACUGGUGUAUUGGGAGCAAGAGUACUGAAACUUGCCAACUGGCAAGAGUACUGUUGUUGUAAAACUACUGAAACUACUCAUGCAACAGUGGAAUUUUCAGUGGAGUAGCUGCAAAAUUCAGUAAAUACUGAUGUACUCCUACUGCAAACAAAAUUAAAUCAGCAAAUACUGAUGUACUCCUACUGCAAACAAAAUUCAGACACUAUAAACUGCAUCUGAUGCAGUACAACUACUUAUAGUUCAUCUACUGAAAGCACAUGAACAAAAUUCGGACACUAUAAACUGCAUCUGAUGAAGUAAUUUUUCAGGAGUACUGGAAUACUUGAAUCACAGUGCAUCUACUGAAAGCACACGAACAUGAACAACAACAAUACUCACCAUCGUCGUCGGGGAAGCACGCUGCAACUUGCUCCAGCUUGGUUCAGCCCUCCUCUGCUCCAGCUUGUCGGCGACGAAGCUACAUGGUCGGAUGCCGCACGUUGGGGGCGAGCUCGGGGAGGCGUUGGUAAAGCUCGGAGAUCUGCACCUGCUUGAAUCGCCAAGUUCAAUCCUCGUACCAAGCUCCGAGAGGCGUUGGUAGAUGAGCAGCAGCGAGGGAGCGAGGAGGAGCGACGUACCGCAGCUGUUGGCGUUGGAAUGGAGGAAGGCGGUUGCAGAUCGAGCCGCCGCGCUCCGGAUCAGCCGCCGGAGAAUAAAAAUGAGAUCUUGGCGACGGCGACGGCGACGGAGCCAAUGGAAAGGCGGCGACGACGCGAGCGAGGCAGAGGACUGGUUAUUGCUACCAUAUGAAAUAUUGAGAUUGAUGAUUGAAAGUUGUGCUAUAUUUCUUUGGAUUACAACAUCUUCACAGUAAUCUGACCAUCUCUAUGCAAUUGGUGUGCUGAACCAAAUUUGACACAUCCCAUCUGUCCAACCAAAUACAAGAACUAAACCGACCCAUUCCU
rnacentral:lncRNA from 1 species